CCUUUUAUAUAUUUAUUAAUGUCAAAUAAAUCGGAAAGAGCAUAUACACAUGCUCUUCAGUAUAUUAAUGCAAAGGUGCCCAAUUUGAAUCCAACAUCUGUGGUUACAGAUUUCGAAUUUAGUUUGCGUAACGCCAUCAAACAUGUCUUUCCUGCUGUUCAAUUGAAAAGUUGCUGGUUCCACUAUACGAAUGCUUUGCGACGAAAAGCUUCGAAAAUUUCUAACUUCAUUCGCAAUCUAAAUAAAGACAAACUAGCCAAAUCUAUAUUUCACAAAUUUCUAAUCUUACCACUACUGAAACCGACUGAUAUCAAAGAAGCAUUUAAAAUUUUAGAAAAAGAUGCUAUUAAUUUGAAAGAUACUACGAAAGAACAUAUGGAAAGAAGUUCUCUUCUUAAUGAAUUCUUGAAUUAUUACAGACGUCAGUGGAUGAAAAAGGAACGCCCUGAAAAUUUUUCGAUUUAUAAGGAACGCAUUACUACCAGCAGCUCUGCAGAAUCAUUUCACAGUCAAUUAAGAGCGAAAUUGCCAAAAAAAGGAAGGUUUUAUAGAUUUUUGGACAUUUUGACCGAUAUUGGUGCAACGAAAUCAAUGGAUUUUUUGAAAUCAAUUGGCGGAUGUACUAUUUUAUAUAAAGCUAAACAAAAAAGGUUUAAAACGCGUUCAAAUUUUGUUCGUGAACGCCUCCAUCUAAUGCAUCAAAAAAAAAUUACAUUAACAGACAUUCACAACCAGCUUUCAUUAAAAGAAAACUGCAUAUUCGCAGAAGAUUUUGUUAAUGAAAUUCCAAAUGAUGAUAAUGAUGAUGAUGAUGAUGAUGAGGAUGAAGAGGAUUAUGUUAAUACUGAACAAGUUGAUAAAUGCGAUGAAAAAAAAGAUUCCCUUUCUUUAACAUGCUAUCACAAAGAUCGCGAAGUUUUGUGUUUACCAUGUAAACAUUGCAAAAUUUGUCGCGAUUGCUUCAAAAAAAUAGAAGAAUCAUCGCAAAAUAAAGGAAUAAAAGUGUUGUGUCCAUUUUGCCGUUCCAUUGUUAAGGAUAGUAUGAUAAUUUAUAAUUAAAGGUUAACGUUUAUUAGGGUUUCAUUGCCUUUAAAUAAUUUUUUUCCAAAUGAAAUCGCAAAGUUGAGGAAUAAACAUUGUGUAAACGCAGAGAUUAUAAGUUUCCUUUCAUAUAAUUUACAAUAAAUAAUGGAUAUAGUUUUUUUUUUUUAUUUUUAUUAAUUUUUUAAAUUGUUGGCCUUUAACUGGCGGGGUGAUAUAACGUAAAAGGUGAUAAAGCAAAAUUUGCUUCACGUUAGCAGUUUUGUGGGGACGGCACAGCACGAGGCAGGAAAGCGGGGCAUGGCCCGGUUGUGAAAAUUUGUAUCUGGGAAAAACAAACAAACUUAUUCGCGAGCGGAGGGCGAUGGUAGGGGUUGUGGGGGCGCGCGCGAGGACGGCACAGCGCAGAGACGGCCACCAAACUAUAUAUACUCACAUUUUUCUCUAAAAUAUUGAAAGCGAAAUAAUGUCACAUUUUGUUUUCAGAAAAAAUGGUACAAAUAAUUGCAAAUGGUAAUAACGUCACUGCGGCUUUAUUUCCAUUUAAAUUGGAAAUAAUGUCCAGUGCCUUUAUUUCCAUUCCAAUUGGAAAUAAAGUCACAGUGACGUUAUUUCCAGUGACGUUAUUGCACCCCACCGUUCAAAACAGCAUUAGAACGAAUGCCAUCGGAUACGCACAAAUCUGUCAUAAGAGCGGAUUGUACCCCAACAGGUGAACAUGUGCGAAGAUUCAAUGCACCAACCGUUAAUGAUGUUCUUGCAAUUAUUGUUGGCGAUCCAACUAAAUCGCGAGACAUUGUCGUUCAGCGAAGAAGCAAUAUCAUGCAUCGUGUAAACGUGACACAUCGUUUGUACGAUGCGUUACAAUAUCCAAUCAUUUAUUGGCAAGGGCAGGACGGAUGCGACAUCACGUUGAAAAUGGUCGAUCCAAUUACAGGCGUAUCAACGAAUAAAAAUCUAAGCGCAAUGAAUUACUAUGCAUAUCGUAUGAUGAUUCGUACAAAUGAAGAGAAUGUCAUUCUGAAGUGCUGUCGGCUUUUCCAGCAAUUCGCUGUCGACAUGUAUGUCAAAGUCGAGACCGAACAUUUAGCGUUCAUCCGAAUCAAUCAGGCAAAUCUACGAUCAGAGGACUAAAUACACUUGCGUGAUGCUAUUCAUUCAGAUGGUGAUGUUCAGAAUAUUGGACUUGUGACGAUUCUCCCAUCAUCUUAUGUAUAUCGGAAGCCCACGCCAAAUGCACGAACACGCUCAAGACGCGAGGACGUACGUGCGAAAUUAUGGAACUCCGGAUUUAUUUAUUACGUUAACAUGCAAUCCGAAGUGGACGGAAAUUGAACGUGAGUUGGAACCGGGACAAAAACCGCAAGAUUGCCAUGACAUAAUCGCCAGAGUAUUUCAGCAAAAUCUAAACGUUGUGGUGGAUGUGCUGAAAUGUAAUUGUAAUGUAACGAUGCAAUUUGGUGGCGAAACGGAGUUCGCUGGGUUUUCUAGUUGAAUAUACAAUUAUACAGAAGCAUUUUGCCAAAAGCAAUUAUUUCAUAACUUGUGAUUUGAAAAAAAAUAGUAAGACUAAUAAUUAAUCUUAAUCGGAAUUAAAUGAAAU